AGAAGAGCCUCGCGUGAAACGGCGCGUUCGCCGCUGGGUCUUUGUGCUGCGCGCACCGACACUCGCGGAGAUCCUAGGAGUUGCUGCUCCCUUUCUUUCCCUUUGUUGUUGUUUAGUUGCAUUUCGAGGGCGGGACCCGCUGCUGAAAUGAACAAGGCGCGGUCAGAGCCCCCUUCACACGUGCAGACAAAGGGAUCCAGCAGCACAGCCAAAAACAUUCCGCUAACUUAGUAUCUGUCAGUUUGGUGAAGUAGCAAAAAGCAUGCGAAUGUUCCGUACAAAUGGCUCGGACGUGAUGCAGGACGCCGCACCCGGGCUUGGCUGUCACUAAAUAGGAAGAAGUUUGCAGACUCGUGGGGUUGGAAAACUUGCGGAAAGCAGGAGUUGCUGCGCCACAGUUCUGGCAAAGUUGAGGACAAAGCGGAGAGGAGAGUCCCUUUGUUCUGCAACGAGCUUUGAAAGGGAGAUCAGGAGACCUCGGCCAUCCUCACGGAAACUCCGGCAACUUGUACAGGGUCGGAGCAGGGUAACCGCCCUUCUCAUUUUUGGUGGUCAAUCACGUUUCAAAAAGUGGAUAUUCCACUCAUUCUACGCUGGAACACACUUUAAGCUUGACGGAUUUAUGGAAAGUGAUGCCUAUUUUAUGACCUGCUUGCUGCGUGGACGCAGGACAUGGAUGGAUUCAAAGCGGUCUUCUUCUCACUGGUCACAAGAAACAGGAAUACAAUUUAUGGAAACGCCUGAUGUUCCAUUGGAUUACAGCCUCUUCCUUUUUAAGUCUGAACGUGUUGAUAAUAAUCAAGCUCUGGGAUGUUGAUUUUCUGCUUUGGAUCGUUUACUUGUUCACGUUAGGUUGGAAUUGAAGACUUUGGAAUGCUAAAGGGGGACUGUGGAAACCACAAGAAACCAUGGAUUCGGCAAGAAGUUAAAUGGACUAUGCAAUUGUUGUGACUCCUUUGACACAGUUAGAGCAACAUUUACACACCACAGGAUAUCUGAACCUUCACAGAAGCAGUAUAUUUAUUUGUGAACUGACUUGUCCUCAAGAUAAUGCUCCAUGCGUCAAGACUAGCAAAAUUCUGGGAUGACUCCAGGAAUGUAGCAGUGAAUUAAUAUUAAUGUCGUGGCUUCUCUUCUCACCAGAUGUUAAUUCAAUCAAGCAUAUGCAGGAUGACAUGGAAUGGUGUAUUCAGUAGAGAUCCCACCAGAAUGUCAUUUCCUCAAGAUUUGGAACAAACUGCAGUCAACAUGGGCCACCAUCUCCAUGUUAAACUUCUGAAACUUUGUGAGAGCAUUGCAUGUCUAAUUGGGAGAGCAAAUGAAGGUUGACUCACCAUUCGAAAGAGUGAGGAAGAAAAUAAUUUAGAAAGGGACCAGAAAAUAAGCUGCGGUCAAGAAAACAGGCAAAGAUUAUAAAAUGAGUGAAGCAGGACAAACCUAGAAGAUGACUCUACAAACCACAACCUCCCAUAUGGACCACACACAAGAACAUCUGUCGCCUGAAAGUGGACGUUCACUUACGAAACAGAAUUGUCAUGAGAGGGUCCUUACUGAGCCCAACUCCAGGAACUGACCUUAUUGAAUGUCGACUGCUUUUUCUUUCCUCUUGAUCCUUUUGGCUGCCAUUUCACAUUUUUGCCAUAUUAAACAGGGUUUCUCAGCUGGGAACUCUAACUCUUUUCACGUUUACUUUGUGCUUCCUUUCCCAGUCUAUACACUUGUUUCAAAUGGUGAGGUGCAAUGGGUUAUGACGUGGCACUGGAAAACAUCUUCAUAGAUCUCAGUAUCUUCUCCACCUACAGUUCACUUGGUCUCUGUGUUUUGAGACCUGCUGUUUCAGAAUUUACUUAAGCUGCUACUCCUUGUACAUUCUGUUGUUGUCAGUGUAGGUGUCCUUUUUAAUAAGUUUAUUUAUGUAGCGCCUUUCAUACACAGGUGGAGUGGUGGCUCUGAGGCUAGGGAUUUGCACUGGCAAUCGGAAGGCUGCUGGUUCGAAUCC